UAACGUUGCUCACACCCGUUAACCGAGACCUAUGGGUGUAUAAAGUACGUCUCUCAUAUCCUGCCUGAGGGUGGCGGGAGCAUAGUAUCACCA
rnacentral:ncRNA from 1 species